CGGUAAAUAGAUGGCCAUAAAACAGUGACCGCUGAUUCGCGUCGAGUUCUUUCUUGCAUAACGUAGAGAAAUGUCUGGGACUUAGCCGAGGGCAACUGGAGAAGGGUUGUUGAUGGCAAAACAGGUUGGAGACUACAUGAGACUUUGACAGAUGGCGGGAAACCCAAUUCAACUGCCAGUAAUGCCUUGGAGUGCCUUGCAACCAAAGAUGAGUUUAUAGAUCAGGGGAGGGAACUCUCACCAGAGGAGGCGGAAAUACAGAAGGCUGUAGUUGGUCCCUGUAUGAACAUUGUAUCCGGAUGUGUGCAAAUCUGCAAAUCUCUCCGUGACUACACAUACGAUCCAAUGUACACAAAAAACGCUCUUGCCAGUCUUGCAUAGUCAAAUGUACAAAGCAACUCAAACACGA